UUGCUGUGAUAAUAUAUUUUAUAUUGUCUGCAUUAUGUAGUAACUAUGUAAUGUUCAUAUGUUUACCAAAUAAAAUCAAUCAAUAAAAUCAAUCAAUCAAAGAUUGUGUCAAAAUGGCUUGGGUCAACACACAAGACGCCUCUGUCUUUGUCCGUGGUUUGAAGACUUUUCUGGAAGAAAACCACAAGAGACACCUACUGGGGGACUCCGGCUAUCAACAAUAGGUACAACAAUGCCCAGUCAAGUGUAUUGUGGUUGAGAGGGCUUUUGGACUGCCAAAGAGUAGAUUUAGGUGUCUACAUAAAACUGGCUGUUGUUUAUUAAUGAGACACGAUGAGUGCUGUCAAGCAGUGGCUGCAUGAAUGUGCCUGCACAACUUAUGCAUAGAUUAGCAGGUGCCACUGCCUAAACAACUUACCGAGGCACAGGAAGUGGAAGAUGUUGUGCACAGUUCACAACAAGACCAAAAUGCAGCUUUUAUGGACAACACAUCAUUAACUUAUUUAUGUAGUUGCUGUUUUAUGCUCACAUGUGCAUGAAGUGCUAUAGGUGAGUCAUUGUGGUUUGUCUAUGUUCGGCGACAUGUGUUAAUAUUCAAUAUUUGACUCUUUGUUGAUGAAAGAUGGUCAUUAUGUUUCUGCUAAUGAUACAUAAUAACUUAAUAAGUUAAUGAUUUCUUGUCUAUGAGCUGCUGCAUUUCUGUCAAGUGUGGUCAACAUCUUUGUAAAAGUGUGGAUAUUGACAAUUUCUGCCGUUCUUUUGUGGAUUUUUUUCAUUAAAGACACACUGUUUACAAUAUUCAUUUAUGCAAUGCGUACGAUGAUUACAUGUUUCCUUUAUAUUAUAACAACGUGAAAAUAAAUUCUACCCCUUUAUUUAAUUAUCUGUGUAACAUAACAAUACAGGGUUUUCUCCAACAACUCUACAGCUAGGGAACAAUGAAGUGGAACACUAUCUGAAAAUGAAAUACAUUUUAUGUUAAUAAAAUUUGUAUUUGUAAGACAAGUGAUGAAAUAAAAGGUUAACAUUGUAACAUAAAGAGAUGUGGUUUCUGUUUGUUCUUUAAAGAGCAUGUACUGUGUACAGUACACUCCACGCGUUUUCCCCAAAAAACGCGCUCCCUCCGCGGGUUUUUUCUGCUAGCGAGUGUUCACGCGGCGUUGGAAGAGCGAGGUGAACUCGAUAAAACGCUCGGCGUUACGCCGCGUUCGCUAAUUCCCGCGGCGUGUAUUACUUUAGGCUAGUCGGUAAAUGCAGACACCUUCCGUUCUUAUCAGUGAUCGCCGCGCAACGCCGCGUUAGCAGUGUGCUACUGGGCAUGCCAAAAAAUAAAAACAUUGUUAUAAUAAAUUGUUUAAAUACUGUAGUACAUGUAUAAAAAGAUAAUUGUAUAGAAAAUUAAUACGUAUAAAAAUUAUGUUUUUUAAU